GUCCACGCCGUAAACGAUGAGCACUAGAUAUGGGGGGUCGACCCUCUCCGUGUCGCAGCUAACGCAUUAAGUGCUCCGCCUGGGGGAGUACGGUCGCAAGAUUAAAACUCAAAGGAAUUGACGGGGGCCCGCACAAGCGGUGGAUUAUGUGGUUUAAUUCGAAGCAACGCGAAGAACCUUACCUAGGUUUGAAAUCCUGAGAAUCCUCCCGAAAAGGGGAGUGCCCUUCGGGGAAUUCAGUGACAGGUGCUGCAUGGCUGUCGU
rnacentral:rRNA from 1 species